AGAGUUUGAUCCUGGCUCAGGAUGAACGCUGGCGGCGUGCUUAACACAUGCAAGUCGAACGGGCUCAUAUUGAAACCUAGUGAUUUAUGAGUUAGUGGCGGACGGGUGAGUAACGCGUGGAAAACCUGCCGUAUACUGGGGGAUAACACUUAGAAAUAGGUGCUAAUACCGCAUAAGCGCACAGCUUCGCAUGAAGUGGUGUGAAAAACUCCGGUGGUAUACGAUGGUUCCGCGUCUGAUUAGCUUGUUGGUGGGGUAAUGGCUCACCAAGGCGACGAUCAGUAGCCGGCCUGAGAGGGUGAACGGCCACAUUGGGACUGAGACACGGCCCAAACUCCUACGGGAGGCAGCAGUGGGGAAUAUUGCACAAUGGGGGAAACCCUGAUGCAGCGACGCCGCGUGAGUGAAGAAGUAUUUCGGUAUGUAAAGCUCUAUCAGCAGGGAAGAAAAUGACGGUACCUGAUUAAGAAGCCCCGGCUAACUACGUGCCAGCAGCCGCGGUAAUACGUAGGG
rnacentral:rRNA from 1 species